rnacentral:rRNA from 1 species
UACGUAGGGGCCGAGCGUUGUCCGGAAUUACUGGGCGUAAAGCGCGCGCAGGCGGCGUUCUAAGCCCGACGUGAAAGCCCCCGGCUCAACUGGGGAGGGUCAUUCGAUACUGUUCGACUCGAAGGCAGGAGAGAGAAGUGGAAUUCCCGGUGUAGUGGUGAAAUGCGUAGAUAUCGGGAGGAACACCAGUGGCGAAGGCGACUUCUUGGCCUGUUCUUGACGCUGAGGCGCGAAAGCUGGGGGAGCAAACGGG